UACCCAUGGAAAAUCAACCUGAUCCAGUAGACAUAAUUCACGAGGAUACCAAGGAUCACUUCCAAAAUGAUUUGAGAUAGAAAACUAAACCAGAAGUUCUUGAUUGGGUUGAGGAACACGUGAUGAAGGUAAAUUGUGUACUAGUUAAAGGACAACAAAGCCGAGGGGAUCGGUUUGAAAUGAUUUGUGAGCUUAGUGGAACCGGCGCUAGCAAGGUUAAAAAGGGUACCGUAUAUGUUGGGAAGACUGGGAGAAAGAAUAGGACGAAGACGAAGAAAACAAAUUGCCCUUUCAAGAUCGUUUGAACCUCAAGAAUAAGUCCUUGAACAAAGAAGAUCAAUAUUGGAUGAAUAAAGAUAUGGAUUGUCGUCAUAACCACCCACGUCUCAAAGACCUUCAUGGACAUGCGAAAGUAGCGACUCAAACCCAACGAGAUGCUAGAAGUGGAUAAAAUGACACGAGCACGUUUGCCACCGUCUAGGAUUUUCAUCUUCAACAAUUUCAUCUUCUUCAUCUUCCUUCACAUAUGGUUGAAAAACGACAUCAUCAACACUUAUUGUAUCUAACUUCUCCCUCAAA